GAUGAAGAACGUAGCGAAAUGCGAUAAGUAGUGUGAAUUGCAGAAUUCAGUGAAUCAUCGAAUCUUUGAACGCAUAUUGCGCUCUUUGGUAUUCCGAAGAGCAUGCUUGUUUGAGUAUCAGUAAACACCUCAAAGCUUUUGGAUUUUUUAAUCGAAAAGCUUUGGACUUGAGCAAUCCCAACACCAAUCUUUUUGAGAUCGGUGGCGGGUUGCUUGAAAUGCAGGUGCAGCUGGACAUUCUCCUGAGCUAAAAGCAUAUUCAUUUAGUCCCGUCAAACGGAUUAUUACUUUUGCUGCAGCUAACAUAAAGGGAGUUUGACCGUAUUGGCUGACUGAUGCAGGAUUUCACAAGGGUCGGCAACGAUUCUUGUUAAACUCGAUCUCAAAUCAAGUAAGACUACCCGCUGAACUUAAGCAUAUCAAUAAGCGGAGGA
rnacentral:misc_RNA from 1 species